AUACUUACAGAAAAUGGACCCACAGUUCUUAAUGUCUAACUUACAAAAAUUGCCUGCAGUGUAACAUUUAUUACCAGGAGAGGAGAUCCACUCUGGACCAGGAGGAGUUGGAACCUCUGCAGGUGAAACAAGAACAGGAAGAGCCAGAAGAUCA